CAUAAGGACUUAUUUAAGUCCACCAACCAUUCAUAAACAUCAUUAU
rfam:Gossypium raimondii chromosome 11, whole genome shotgun sequence.